rnacentral:rRNA from 1 species
CAGUCGAACGAAACUUCUUUAUCACCGAGUGCUUGCACUCACCGAUAAAGAGUUGAGUGGCGAACGGGUGAGUAACACGUGGGCAACCUGCCCAAAAGAGGGGGAUAACACUUGGAAACAGGUGCUAAUACCGCAUAACCAUAGUUACCGCAUGGUAACUAUGUAAAAGGUGGCUAUGCUACCGCUUUUGGAUGGGCCCGCGACGCAUUAGCUAGUUGGUGGGGUAAAGGCUUACCAAGGCAAUGAUGCGUAGCCGAACUGAGAGGUUGAUCGGCCACACUGGGACUGAGACACGGCCCAGACUCCUGCGGGAGGCAGCAGUGGGGAAUAUUGCACAAUGGGGGGAACCCUGAUGCAGCGACGCCGCGUGGGUGAAGGAGCACCUCGGUGCGUAAAGCCCUAUCGGCAGGGAAGAAACAGACGGUACCUGACUAAGAAGCCCCGGCUAACUACGUGCCAGCAGCCGCGGUAAUACGUAGGGGGCAAGCGUUAUCCGGAUUCACUGGGUGUAAAGGGAGCGUAGACGGCGACGCAAGUCUGGAGUGAAAGCCCGGGGCCCAACCCCGGGACUGCUCUGGAAACUGCGGCGCUGGAGUACGGGAGGGGCAGGCGGAAUUCCUGGUGUAGCGGUGAAAUGCGUAGAUAUCAGGAGGAACACCGGCGGCGAAGGCGGCCUGCUGGACCGUGACUGACGUUGAGGCUCGAGAGCGUGGGGAGC